ACCGGCUCGAACAUCGACGGCGCGGUGCGGUCGGGGUUGACGUUCCCGGACGCGGCGAGUCCGAUGCCGCCGGCGAUCGCGGCGCCGAUGUCGGUG
rnacentral:tRNA from 1 species